UACGGAGGGUGCAAGCGUUGUCCGGAAUCACUGGGCGUAAAGGGCGCGUAGGCGGCCUGGUAAGUAGGGGGUGAAAUCCUGCGGCUUAACCGCAGGGCUGCCUUCUAAACUGUCAGGCUUGAGCACGGUAGAGGCAGAUGGAAUUCCCGGUGUAGCGGUGGAAUGCGUAGAUAUCGAGAGGAACACCUGCGGCGAAGGCGGGUUGCUGGGCCGACACUGACGCUGAUGCGCGAAAGCCAGGGGAGCGAACGGG
rnacentral:rRNA from 1 species